rnacentral:SRP_RNA from 1 species
GCUGGGCGUGGUGGUCGACACCUGUAAUCCCAGCUACUCGGGAGGCUGAGGCAGGAGAAUUGCUUGAACCCAGGAGGCUGAGGCUGCAGUGAACCGAGAUUGCACCACUGCACUCCAGCCUGGGUGACAGAGCGAUACUCCGUCUCAA